AAAACUUCUCAGUCAAGGGUCUGCUGAACAAGAAGGCUGACGCCGUCAAGGCGAACAACAAAGCCAACACAGUGACCAGUCCUAAAGACACCAGCCUAACUCCAGCACUGGAACCCCAGACCACAGUGAUCCACAACCCAAUAGAUGGGAACAAGGAGUCUAUAGAGAGCGCAAACACCAUCAUCGAGGAC